UGGGGAAUAUUGCACAAUGGGCGGAAGCCUGAUGCAGCGACGCCGCGUGGGGGAUGAAGGCCUUCGGGUUGUAAACUCCUUUCGACAGGGACGAAGCUUUUGUGACGGUACCUGUAUAAGAAGCACCGGCUAACUACGUGCCAGCAGCCGCGGUAAUACGUAGGGUGCGAGCGUUGUCCGGAAUUACUGGGCGUAAAGAGCUCGUAGGUGGUUUGUCGCGUCGUCUGUGAAAUUCCGGGGCUUAACUCCGGGCGUGCAGGCGAUACGGGCUGACUUGAGUGCUGUAGGGGAGACUGGAAUUCCUGGUGUAGCGGUGAACUGCGCAGAUAUCAGGAGGAACACCGAUGGCGAAGGCAGGUCUCUGGGCAGUAACUGACGCUGAGGAGCGAAAGCAUGGGUAGCGAACAGGAUUAGAUACCCUGGUAGUCCAUGCCGUAAACGGUGGGCGCUAGGUGUAGGGGGCUUCCACGUCUUCUGUGCCGUAGCUAACGCAUUAAGCGCCCCGCCUGGGGAGUACGGCCGCAAGGCUA
rnacentral:rRNA from 1 species